CGUAGCGGUGAUGUUGACAAUA
rnacentral:siRNA from 1 species